GUGGGACUCCAGGAACCACACCUCACGAUGAUCAACACUUGAUAAAUUCACCGCAAGUUCAACGCUGCCUCGACCGAACAGGUAUGGCCACUACGUCUGGUCACGAGAGAGAACCACAAGGCAUCACCAUCGUUAUAUGU